GAUGAACGCUGGCGGCGUGCCUAAUACAUGCAAGUCGAGCGAACUGAUUAGAAGCUUGCUUCUAUGACGUUAGCGGCGGACGGGUGAGUAACACGUGGGCAACCUGCCUGUAAGACUGGGAUAACUUCGGGAAACAGAAGCUAAUACCGGAUAGAAUCUUCUCCUUCAUGGGAGAUGAUUGAAAGAUGGUUUCGGCUAUCACUUACAGAUGGGCCCGCGGUGCAUUAGCUAGUUGGUGAGGUAACGGCUCACCAAGGCAACGAUGCAUAGCCGACCUGGGAGGGUGAUCGGCCACACUGGGACUGAGACACGGACCAGACUCCUACGGGAGGCAGCAGUAGGGAAUCUUCCGCAAUGGACGAAAGUCUGACGGAGCAACGCCGCGUGAGUGAUGAAGGCUUUCGGGUCGUAAAACUCUGUUGUUAGGGAAGAACAAGUACGAGAGUAACUGCUCGUACCUUGACGGUACCUAACCAGAAAGCCACGGCUAACUACGUGCCAGCCGCCGCGGUAA
rnacentral:rRNA from 1 species